CUACUCGGGAGGCUGAGACAGGAGGAUCG
rnacentral:piRNA from 2 species